UACGUAGGGGGCAAGCGUUGUCCGGAUUUACUGGGCGUAAAGGGCGCGUAGGCGGCGGGUCAAGUCGAGUGUGAAAUCUUGGAGCUUAACUCCGAAACUGCAUUCGAUACUGCCGUGCUUGAGGACUGGAGAGGAGACUGGAAUUUACGGUGUAGCGGUGAAAUGCGCAGAUAUCAGGAGGAACACCGAUGGCGAAGGCAGGUCUCUGGGCCACUACUGACGCUGAGAAGCGAAAGCAUGGGGAGCGAACAGG
rnacentral:rRNA from 1 species